GAUGAACGCUGGCGGCGUGCCUAAUACAUGCAAGUCGAGCGAACAGACGAGGAGCUUGCUCCUCUGACGUUAGCGGCGGACGGGUGAGUAACACGUGGAUAACCUACCUAUAAGACUGGGAUAACUUCGGGAAACCGGAGCUAAUACCGGAUAAUAUAUUGAACCGCAUGGUUCAAUAGUGAAAGACGGUUUUGCUGUCACUUAUAGAUGGAUCCGCGCCGCAUUAGCUAGUUGGUAAGGUAACGGCUUACCAAGGCAACGAUGCGUAGCCGACCUGAGAGGGUGAUCGGCCACACUGGAACUGAGACACGGUUCAGACUCCUACGGGAGGCAGCAGUAGGGAAUCUUCCGCAAUGGGCGAAAGCUUGACGGAGCAACGCCGCGUGAGUGAUGAAGGUCUUCGGAUCGUAAAACUCUGUUAUUAGGGAAGAACAAAUGUGUAAGUAACUAUGCACGUCUUGACGGUACCUAAUCAGAAAGCCACGGCUAACUACGUG
rnacentral:rRNA from 1 species